rnacentral:rRNA from 1 species
CAGGAUGAACGCAGUGACAGGCCAACACAUGCAAGUCAGGGGCAGCACAAGGAGCAAUCUGAGGUGGCGACCGGCGCACGGGUGAGUAACACGUAUGCAACCUGCCUGUAAGCGGGGAAUAACCCGUUGAAAGACGGACUAAUACCGCAUAAUACUAAAUUACUGCAUGGUAAUUUAUUUAAACAUUUAUGGCUUACAGAUGGGCAUGCGCAUGAUUAGCUAGUUGGAGAGGUAACGGCUCCCCAAGGCAACGAUCAUUAGGGGUUCUGAGAGGAAGGUCCCCCACACUGGUACUGAGACACGGACCAGACUCCUACGGGAGGCAGCAGUGAGGAAUAUUGGUCAAUGGACGAGAGUCUGAACCAGCCAAGUCGCGUGCAGGAAGAAUGUCCUUAAUGGAUUGUAAACUGCUUUUGCAGGGGAGUAAAGUGCAUCACGUGUGAUGUUUUGUAUGUACUCUGCGAAUAAGGAUCGGCUAACUCCGUGCCAGCAGCAGC